AAGUCGUAACAAGGUUUCCGUAGGUGAACCUGCGGAAGGAUCAUUACCAAAUUAGCGCUGUGGCCUCCGGGUCGCUGCCUAAACCCCUUGCUUAUGAGUACCUGUUGUUCCCUCGGCGCACCUGGUGCGCCGAACGGAACCCCCUAAACCCUUGCAUCUAAGAAUCAACUAUCCGAUAACAAAACAAUCUAUUACAACUUUCAACAAUGGAUCUCUUGGUUCUG
rnacentral:misc_RNA from 1 species